ACAAUAUUUCUUUCUCUCUUGAGGAAACAAACACACACAAGCUACCUUUUUUCAAGCCAUGCACACUUGAAGAAACUAUCACAAGUCAGCAAGACGACAAGGAUAACCAGACCUGCAGAGAUGGUUCAUGUAUUGAGGCUGAAGAAGGAGACCUGGAUGAGGAUUACAGCAACGACGAAAUGGAUGAGCUGGUAAUGAUGAGCCUCAUGAGUAUAAGCGAAAAUGUGAAAUAAAAA